rnacentral:rRNA from 1 species
AUGGUUAUAUUAGGGGAGACGCUUUUAGCCACACAAUAUCCGUCUCUUUAUAAUAGUGUACAUCGUAAGGAUACUUAUGUUGCUACAGUAUUGCAGUAUGUUCCUCUAAGCAUCCAGUUCAGGAGGUCCUUAGUAGGAGACCGAUGGGAUGCGUGGCUACAUCUCAUGCGGAGACUGAUGGACAUUCACCUCUCUGAUGAGCCAGAUUCGAUUCACUGGAAACUAUCUAUGAAUGGAGUUUUCUCAGUGAAAUCUAUAUAUCUAGACUUAAUUGAUUCUGGUCCAAUUCUAAAAUCAUUACAUAUUUGGAAGAUUAAAGUACCUUUAAGAAUCAAAAUCUUCAUGUGGUUUGUUGACAAGGAGGUGAUUCGGACUAAGGGUAACUUGGCAAAGCAAAGAUGGGAGGGUAGUAAGCGAUGUUGCUUUUGUGAUCUUGAUGAAACUAUUAAACACCUCUUUCUCGAUUGUCCUCUUGCCAAACUUUUAUGGCAUACGGUUCAUAUAGCCUAUAAUGUCAGCUCUCCAAAUAGUAUUAACAUGUUAUUUGGGAGGUGGCUAAAUUGA